CCGGUUGAUCCUGCCAGAGGUUACUGCUAUCGAGGUUCGACUAAGCCAUGCGAGUCGAAUGUAGCAAUACAUGGCGAACUGCUCAGUAACACGUGGACAACCUGCCCUUAGGUUGGGUAUAAACCCGGGAAACUGGGUAUAAUACCCGAUAGGUCUCGAUUGCUGGAAUG
rnacentral:rRNA from 1 species